CCGGCGGAAUGAUCCUAGGUGGCCAGGGACGAUAUCCUAGACCCCUUACUUCUGGAGGAGUUCCAUUAUAACCACCCGAAUUGUCCCGCACCCAGAGGCCAUGGUCGUCCUCGUCGUCGUCGGGAGACACCCUUGGGGGAUGGGGUAAUGUCAGAGAGUCACAGUCACUCCAGUCACCUCAAUCAACUCAGUGACGAGCACCGACAUUCACCAGAUCACAUUCACGUGACUUGAUUCACCGCACCUGCUGCAGCCAAUUAAGCCCCACUUCAUAAGCUCACUCAGUUCACUCACACAGCAUCUGGUCUACCGUUCGUUCACAUUGACUCACUUGUUCUAACCUGUGUGUCUUUAUCCUCAGAAGAUUCCUGUCUCUCCUCCGCUCUGAUUCUCCACCGAUUCCCCACCGAAUUACCUGGACUGUAACCCUUACCUGAGGAGUCCCUUCAUGACAGAAACAUGGCAGAGAUGUGAGGAAACUAGUGCAAAAGCACCCGUUGCAAAGCGAGCCAAUGCAAAUAAGAACACAGGAACACAGCUAAGAACCUGGAACACAGCUAAGACCAAGCGAGGCACCCACUCCCAUGAGUCUCUUCAAACAAAAAAAACUUUAUGUCCUUCAGCGCACAUAAACAGUAUACAUUUUGGAAAUGCCAGGUAUGUGAUGUUCAUUUAUAUAUUUCAACAUGAUGCAAUACCAGUCAAAAGCUUUUGAACAGUAGGAUUUUUUAUGUUUUUGUAAAGAAUUCUCUUCUGCUCACCAAACCUGCAUUUAUUUGAUCGAAAAUAUAUAAAGUUGCAUUUGCUAAAGUAGUAAAAUUUUGAAAUAUUUUUACUAUUUAAAAUAACUGCUUUCUAUUCGAAUAUAUUUUAAAAUUUAAUUUAUUCCUGUGGUCAAAGCUAAAUUUUCAGCAUCAUUACUCCAGUCUUACUCCAAGUGUAACAAUAUACACUAUACCAUUCAAAAGCUUGGAGUCAGUAUACAUAGAAAUUAAAACUUUUAUUUAGCACACAAGUGAUGAUAAAGACAUUUAUCAUGUUACAAACAAUGCUGUUCUUUCAGUUCAUCAAAAAAACUUGAAAAAAAAUAUUCUCAGCUCUUUUCAACAUUAAUAAUAAUAAUAAUAAAUGUUUUUUUGAGUAGCA
ensembl:lncRNA